AUUGAACGCUGGCGGCAGGCUUAACACAUGCAAGUCGAGCGAGCGGCGGACGGGUGAGUAAUGUCUGGGAAACUGCCUGAUGGAGGGGGAUAACUACUGGAAACGGUAGCUAAUACCGCAUACCAUCAGAUGUGCCCAGAUGGGAUUAGCUAGUAGGUGGGGUAAUGGCUCACCUAGGCGACGAUCCCUAGCUGGUCUGAGUGGAUGACCAGCCACACUGGAACUGCCACACGGUCAAGCCUCCGAGGGGAGGCAGCGGUUGGGACUAUUGCACAAUGGGCGCAAGCCUGAUGAAGCCAUGCCGCGUGUGUGAAGAAGGCCUCCGGGUUGUAAAGCACGUUCAGCGAGGAGGCGUUACUCGCAGAAGAAGCACCGGCUCACUCCGUGCCAGCAGACGUGGUAAUAC
rnacentral:rRNA from 1 species